rnacentral:rRNA from 1 species
UACGGAGGGUGCAAGCGUUAUCCGGAUUUACUGGGUUUAAAGGGUGCGUAGGUGGGUAGGUAAGUCAGUGGUGAAAUCUCCGGGCUUAACCCGGAAACUGCCAUUGAUACUAUUUAUCUUGAAUACUUUGGAGGUAAGCGGAAUAUGUCAUGUAGCGGUGAAAUGCUUAGAUAUGACAUAGAACACCAAUUGCGAAGGCAGCUUGCUACACAGUAAUUGACACUGAGGCACGAAAGCGUGGGGAUCAAACAGG